CACUCGGCUGGGCGUGGGACAUAAGCGGCUGAUGUGUCAUCCCGCACCCUGGAAAGACAGGCUGGUGCUUAGCAGCCACUGUUUGACAGUCUGCGUUCUCCCGCACCACGCCUGGCCUGGACCUGAGUUUUCUGCUGCCACUUCUGUCUUCCAGCUUUGUUUUUUGGGCCUGACUUCAGCUGCUUCUCCAAGCUCCUGACAACUCUGAGGCUGCAGCUGAGCCACUUCCUGGACUGACUCCAAGGCCUGGAAAGGAGGAGAAAGUUCCGGCAGGCCCAACCCUGAGCAUACAGAAGUGUUUCCUCUACUUCAGUGAUUCCAGGGUUUGAAGACUGCCAAUAAUCCUGCCUCCGUUUGCACAUGCCGAGGCUUCUCUGGGAUGUAAACCCAAGAACUCUUGUGUUACUGGCCAGGUUCAGCUCCGGUUAGGCAUCGCCAAAGUGUUCUUCAGAGUGGUACUCAUUUUUACUCCAACAGCUUGGCUUUCUUGGGGAAUGAGCUGCUUUCAUCUCAUUUUAGUACUUUAGCAAAUUUAGUAAAAUUUUAGUACUUUAGCACUGGGACAGUGACUUCACUUAAUAAAAUGUUCCAAGGUAGGCAAAGCAACCUUAUGAAUCAUUCUGUCACUUUUUUUUUUUUUUGUCUUUUUGCGACAGGGUCUCG